GCUAGGCUGGUCACUUCCCCGUGCACUGAAUGCUAGUGGAUAGGUUUAAUAUGCAGGAAGCCCAACAUGUCCACACUGUGCCGCAUCUCUAUUCGCGGCUCUCUUCAUUUGCUUCCGAUUCCCUUCGUUCCGUCAUUGUCUUCCAUGCUUUCUUUUUAUGUGUUCUGUACCGUAAACCAAUGUAAGUUGGAGUCUGACAAGUAUGAGUUUACUGAAUGCUUCCAACGAUAUUUGAGCGCUUGAAUCGCGGUAUUUUCUGUUUCUGGCGUGUCCUUCAUAUAUCUUCCAGGCCACGGGAGAUGUGCUGAGAAUAUCCACUCGCGCCGAGCAUAAGAGACCGGUGACGCAGGCCUCGGGGCGCAAGGCACAACGCACACACUAGCUUCGGCUUCUGGUUCGUCUUCAGGGGCCAUUCCCUAUCCAAAAACAUGAUGCCGCAGUUGUUCGGGCAAUUUGCAUAUGGAAGGAUUAUCCUUCUGCACGUUCAAUCCUGUCCGCCUCGGAGAUCUUGCGAAACUGAUCUCUGUUUGGCCACAAAUCGUUCAAAAGGGCGACCAGCUGACAACACAACCAUGUUAAUAAAGAAUUAACUUACCAAUCAAGUCCGAAGAGACAUGCGGAUUUUCGAAUGCGAGGAGAAGCUUACUCUCGAGGUGGAUUUGCCAGGACGGUACCAUACAAUUAUCUGUUACGCAUUGAAUUCUGGCCCCGAAUUAACCAAUUUUCAAAAAUUAGACCAACGCGCC
rnacentral:sRNA from 2 species